GAUGAACGCUGGCGGCGUGCUUAACACAUGCAAGUCGAACGGAAAGGCUCCUUCUUGGUGGCGUACUCGAGUGGCGCACGGGAGAGUAUCACGUGGGGGAUCUGACCUGCACUUCGGGAUAAGCCUGGGAAACUGGGUCUAAUACCGCAGAGGAACACAUUUGGGAGGGUGUGGUGGAGAGUCUGACGGUGUGGGAGGAGCUCGCGGAGUGUCAGAUUGCCGUGGGGGUAAUGGCCUACCAAGGCGUCGACGGGUACCCUGGCUGAGAGGAUGUACGGACAAGCUAGAACUGAACUGCGACCCGGACUAGUACGGGAGGCGACAGAGGGGAAGAUAGCACAAUGCAAGGAAGCCUGAUGUAGCGAAGCCGCGUGGGGGAUGAGGGCCAUCGGGAUGGAAACUCAACUCGCUAGGCAGGAAGAGAUGUUGUGACGGUACCUGGAGAAGAAGCACCGGCUAACUACGUG
rnacentral:rRNA from 1 species